ACUGCUCAGUAACACGUGGAUAACCUGCCCUUGGGUUCGGGAUAACCCCGGGAAACUGGGACUAAUACCGGAUAGAUCAAAGAUACUGGAAUGUUCUCUGGUCUAAAACUUCGGUGCCCAAGGAUGGGUCUGCGGCCUAUCAGGUUGUAGUGGGUGUAACGUACCUACUAGCCUACGACGGGUAAGGGUUGUGAGAGCAAGAUCCCUGAGAUGGAUUCUGAGACAUGAAUCCAGGCCCUACGGGGUGCAGCAGGCGCGAAACCUUUACACUGCGGGAAACCGCGAUAAGGGGACCCCGAGUGCCAGCACCUAGUGCUGGCUGUCCCGCUGUCUAAAUAACAGUGGUUAGCAAGGGCCGGGCAAGACCGGUGCCAGCCGCCGCGGUAACACCGGCGGCCCGAGUGGUAGCCGCUAUUAUUGGGUUUAAAGGGCCCGUAGCCGGCCUAUUAAGUCUCUUGGGAAAUCUGGCGGCUUAAUCGUCAGGCGGCCAAGAGAUACUGGUAGGCUUGGGACCGGGAGAGGUGGGAGGUACUCCAGGGGUAGGGGUGAAAUCUCGUAAUCCUUGGGGGACCACCGAUGGCGAAGGCAUCCCACCAGAACGGGUCCGACGGUGAGGGACGAAAGCUGGGGGCACGAACCGGAUUAGAUACCCGGGUAGUCCCAGCUGUAAACGAUGCUCGCUAGGUGUCAGGUGCGGUGCGACCGCAUCUGGUGCCGCAGUGAAAACUUGAAGCGAGUCACCUGGGAAGUACGGUCGCAAGGCUGAAACUUAAAGGAAUUGGCGGGGGAGCAC
rnacentral:rRNA from 1 species